rnacentral:lncRNA from 1 species
CAGCUCCAGCCUUCCUGUGCUCCCUGGAGCAAAAUAUUUAUCAAGUGCUGCACUGCCUGGAGCUCUUUCUGUCCCGGUCACGUUCACGGCUCUGUGGCAGCAAGCCUGCUGGCUCGGCAGUCCUGUCAGGACUGAAUCGAAUCUGCUGAGGUUAGCCCUGGUGCCGCUGUGCCUUUCAGUCAGAUCCUCCCCAGCAGCAGUGGAUUACAGAACCUUCGCGGGACGCAGAAGGCCUUGAGGGCGUGGCUGGUUGCGUGGCUCUGGGCAGGGCGUGUCGGGGGCGUGACCUGAGCUGUGCUGUGACUUGGUCGCCG